rnacentral:rRNA from 1 species
AUGCAAUUCUACUCCACAACACACUUUUAUCCUGAUGGGAAAAUUGUCUGGAUGUCUGAAGGUACUAGGUACCACUCUACAGUUGGUGAAUGGGCAAAAUUGAUCAAUGCACCUGAAGAGCAAGAGGAUGACAUAGAUGUAUAUGCCAAGAAGAAGAAGGAUCACAACUCCAUGGCAAAUAUGUACAAGGAGAUUCCUGACAAAGCCUUGGAAACUCACAAGAUGGGCUCUGUCUACUAUUUGCUGUCUGGUUUGACCACAAUCAACACUAUAUUGAGGCAUACAUUUUUGCCCCAAGUCUGGAGAUCAUAG